rnacentral:rRNA from 1 species
GACGAACGCUGGCGGCGUGCUUAACACAUGCAAGUCGAACGGAAAGGCCCUGCUUUUGUGGGGUGCUCGAGUGGCGAACGGGUGAGUAACACGUGAGUAACCUGCCCUUGACUUUGGGAUAACUUCAGGAAACUGGGGCUAAUACCGGAUAGGAGCUCCUGCUGCAUGGUGGGGGUUGGAAAGUUUCGGCGGUUGGGGAUGGACUCGCGGCUUAUCAGCUUGUUGGUGGGGUAGUGGCUUACCAAGGCUUUGACGGGUAGCCGGCCUGAGAGGGUGACCGGCCACAAUGGGACUGAGAUACGGCCCAGACUCCUACGGGAGGCAGCAGUGGGGAAUAUUGCACAAUGGGCGGAAGCCUGAGGCAGCAACGCCGCGUGCGGGAUGACGGCCUUCGGGGUGUAAACCGCUUUCGCCUGUGACGAAGCGUGAGUGACGGUAAUGGGUAAAGAAGCACCGGCUAACUACGUG